CACGUAGGGGGCGAGCGUUAUCCGGAUUUACUGGGCGUAAAGCGCGUUAAGGCGGUCGACCACGUUGGGGGUGAAAUCUCAGGGCUCAACCCUGGAACUGCCUCCAAUACGGGUCGACUUGAGUGCGAGAGAGGAAGGUGGAAUUCCCGGUGUAGUAGUGAAAUGCGUAGAUAUCGGGAGGAACACCAGUGGCGAAGGCGGCCUUCUGGCUCGCAACUGACGCUGUAGCGCGAAAGCGUGGGGAGCGAACGGGAUUAGAUACCCCGGUAGUCCACGCCCUAAACGAUGUGCACUAGGUGUUGGGCGUAUUGACGCGCUCAGUGCCGUAGCUAACGCAUUAAGUGCACCGCCUGGGGAGUACGGCCGCAAGGUUAAA
rnacentral:rRNA from 1 species